rnacentral:rRNA from 1 species
UACGGAGGGUGCGAGCGUUGUCCGGAAUCACUGGGCGUAAAGGGCGCGUAGGCGGCGCGGCAAGUCUGUGGUGAAAGCCCGAGCUCAACUUCGGGUCGGCCAUGGAUACUGCUGCGCUCGAGCACUGUAGAGGCAGGUGGAAUUCCGGGUGUAGCGGUGGAAUGCGUAGAGAUCCGGAAGAACACCGGUGGCGAAGGCGGCCUGCUGGGCAGUAGCUGACGCUGAGGCGCGACAGCGUGGGGAGCAAACAGG